GGUAGGGGUUCUGAGAGGAAGGCCCCCCACAAUGGGACUGAGACGCGGCCCAUACUCCUACGGGAGGCAGCAGUGAGGAAUAUUGGUCAAUGGGCGGAAGCCUGAACCAGCCAUGCCGCGUGCGGGAAGGAGGCCCUAUGGGCUGUGAACCGCUUUUGCCUGGGGGCAAUAAGGGCGUCGCGCACGUCCGAUGAGAGUACCAGGCGAAUAAGCAUCGGCUAACUCCGUGCCAGCAGCCGCGGUAAUACGGGGGAUGCGAGCGUUAUCCGGAUUCAUUGGGUUUAAAGGGUGCGUAGGCUGUGCGUCAAGUCGGGGGUGAAAUUCCGGUGCUCAACACCGGGGCUGCCCUUGAUACUGUCGCGCUGGAGUGCGGAUGCCGCCGGAGGAAUGAGUGGUGUAGCGGUGAAAUGCUUAGAUAUCACUCAGAACACCGAUUGCGAAGGCAUCUGGCGAAUCCGUAACUGACGCUGAGGCACGAAAGCGUGGGGAUAGAACAGGAUUAGAUACCCUGGUAUUCCACGCCGUAAACGACGAUGGCUAACCGCCGGCGACACACUGUCGGUGGCCAAGCGAAAGCGAUAAGCCAUCCACCUGGGGAGUACGUCGGCAACGAUGAAACUCAAAGGAAUUGACGGGGGCCCGCACAAGCGGAGGAACAUGUGGUUUAAUUCGAUGAUACGCGAGGAACCUUACCCGGGCUCGAACGGCACCUGGAUCACCCAGAGAUGGGCGAGUCUUCGGACAGGUGUCGAGGUGCUGCAUGGUUGUCGUCAGCUCGUGCCGUGAGGUGUCGGCUCAAGUGCCAUAACGAGCGCAACCCUUGCCGCCAGUUGCCAUCAGGUGAUGCUGGGCACUCUGGCGGGACUGCCACCGCAAGGUGUGAGGAGGGGGGGGAUGACGUCAAAUCAGCACGGCCCUUACGUCCGGGGCGACACACGUGUUACAAUGGCGGCCACAGAGGGAAGCUACCCCGCGAGGGGAUGCGGAUCUCGAAAAGCCGUCCCAGUUCGGACUGGAGUCUGCAACCCGACUCCACGAAGUUGGAUUCGCUAGUAAUCGCGCAUCAGCCAUGGCGCGGUGAAUACGUUCCCGGGCCUUAUACACACCGCCCGUCAAGCCAUGGAAGCCGCGGGCGCCUGAAGUCCGUGACCGGAAGGAGCGGCCUAGGGCGAAAGUGGUAACUGGGGCUAAGUCGUAACAAGGUA
rnacentral:rRNA from 1 species